AAAACAAUAGUGCAAGAAGAAGAAGAUUCAGAAAAAUCAAAAAAUAGUGAAGAAGACGAGGACCUAGCAUUAAUCAUCAGAAAAUUCAGACGUUUCAUGAAGAAAAGAAGACAAGGGAUCAAGAGAAGACCACCAGCUAAGGGGAAGCCAAGUAAAGAAAAAGAGCAACCCAUCAUCUGUUAUGAAUGCAAGAAGCCGGGCCACUUC
rnacentral:lncRNA from 1 species